rnacentral:rRNA from 1 species
UACGUAGGGGGCAAGCGUUGUCCGGAAUCAUUGGGCGUAAAGAGCGUGUAGGCGGCCCGGUAAGUCCGCUGUGAAAGUCCAGGGCUCAACCCUGGGAUGCCGGUGGAUACUGUCGGGCUCGAGUCCGGAAGAGGAGUGUGGAAUUCCUGGUGUAGCGGUGAAAUGCGCAGAUAUCAGGAAGAACACCCGUGGCGAAGGCGGCUCUCUGGGACGGUACUGACGCUGAGACGCG